GAUGAACGCUGGCGGCGUGCCUAACACAUGCAAGUCGAACGAACCUAAUCUUCGGAAAGGGUUAGUGGCGCACGGGUGAGUAACACGUAGGUGACCUGCCCCGAAGUGGGGGAUAACUUCUCGAAAGAGAAGCUAAUACCGCAUAUGCUCAGCCAUUCAGUUGGUUGAGUAAAGCUCCGGCGCUUCGGGAGGGGCCUGCGUCCGAUUAGCUAGUUGGUGGGGUAAUGGCCUACCAAGGCGAUGAUCGGUAGCUGGUCUGAGAGGACGAUCAGCCACACUGGCACUGACACACGGGCCAGACUCCUACGGGAGGCAGCAGUGAGGAAUAUUGGUCAAUGGGCGAAAGCCUGAACCAGCAACGCCGCGUGAGGGAUGAAGGCCUUCGGGUCGUAAACCUCUUUUCUGGGAGAAGAGA
rnacentral:rRNA from 2 species